ensembl:rRNA 5S_rRNA 5S ribosomal RNA
CUAGGGCCAUACCACCCUGAACGCGCCUGAUCUCGUCUGAUCUCGGAAGCUAAGCAGGGUUGGGGCUGGUUAGUACUUGGAUGGGAGAAGUGCACAAUUCACAACAGCUAAAUCUUGGAAGCAGAAGCAGCCUAGA